GAUGAACGCUGGCGGCGUGCCUAAUACAUGCAAGUCGAGCGAAGCGGGGACGGGUGAGUAACACGUGGAUAACCUCCUAUAAGACUGGGAUAACUUCAGGAAACCGGAGCUAAACCGGAUACUUAUCGAUGGAUCCACGCUGCAUUAGCUAGUUGGUAAGGUAACGGCUUACCAAGGCACCGAUGCAUAGCCGAGCUGAGAGGGUGAUCGGCACAACUGGAACUAAGAAACGGUCCCGACUCUUACGGGAGGCAGCCGUAGGGAAUCUUCCGCAAUGGGCGAAAGCCUGACGGAGCAACGCCGCUUGAGUGAGGAAGGUCUUCGGAUCGUAAAACUCUGUUAUUAGGGAAGCGGUACCUAAUCAGAAAGCAUCGGCUAACUACGUGUCAGCAGCCGCGGUAAUUC
rnacentral:rRNA from 1 species